AUACAUGCAAGUCGAGCGAAUGGAUGGGAGCUUGCUCCCGGAAGUUAGCGGCGGACGGGUGAGUAACACGUGGGCAACCUACCUGUAAGACUGGGAUAACUUCGGGAAACCGGAGCUAAUACCGGAUAACUUCUUUCUUCUCCUGGAGAAAGGUUGAAAGACGGCUUCGGCUGUCACUUACAGAUGGGCCCGCGGCGCAUUAGCUAGUUGGUGAGGUAACGGCUCACCAAGGCAACGAUGCGUAGCCGACCUGAGAGGGUGAUCGGCCACACUGGGACUGAGACACGGCCCAGACUCCUACGGGAGGCAGCAGUAGGGAAUCUUCCGCAAUGGACGAAAGUCUGACGGAGCAACGCCGCGUGAGUGAUGAAGGUUUUCGGAUCGUAAAACUCUGUUAUCAGGGAAGAACAAGUAUCGGAGUAACUGCCGGUACCUUGACGGUACCUGACCAGAAAGCCACGGCUAACUACGUGCCAGCAGCCGCGGUAAUACGUAGGUGGCAAGCGUUGUCCGGAAUUAUUGGGCGUAAAGCGCGCGCAGGCGGUUUCUUAAGUCUGAUGUGAAAGCCCACGGCUCAACCGUGGAAGGUCAUUGGAAACUGGGAGACUUGAGUGCAGAAGAGAAGAGCGGAAUUCCACGUGUAGCGGUGAAAUGCGUAGAGAUGUGGAGGAACACCAGUGGCGAAGGCGGCUCUUUGGUCUGUAACUGACGCUGAGGCGCGAAAGCGUGGGGAGCGAACAGGAUUAGAUACCCUGGUAGUCCACGCCGUAAACGAUGAGUGCUAAGUGUUAGAGGGUUUCCGCCCUUUAGUGCUGCAGUUAACGCAUUAAGCACUCCGCCUGGGGAGUACGGCCGCAAGGCUGAAACUCAAAGGAAUUGACGGGGGCCCGCACAAGCGGUGGAGCAUGUGGUUUAAUUCGAAGCAACGCGAAGAACCUUACCAGGUCUUGACAUCCUCUGACCACCCUAGAGAUAGGGACUUCCCCUUCGGGGGACAGAGUGACAGGUGGUGCAUGGUUGUCGUCAGCUCGUGUCGUGAGAUGUUGGGUUAAGUCCCGCAACGAGCGCA
rnacentral:rRNA from 2 species